UACGUAGGGGGCAAGCGUUGUCCGGAAUCAUUGGGCGUAAAGCGCGUGUAGGCGGCUUGGUAAGUCUGCUCUGAAAGCCCGGGGCUCAACCCCGGGAGGCGGGUGGAUACUGUCAAGCUCGAGUCCGGAAGAGGAGUGUGGAAUUUCUGGUGUAGCGGUGAAAUGCGCAGAUAUCAGGAAGAACACCGAUGGCGAAGGCAGUUCUCUGGGACGGUACUGACGCUGAGACGCGAAAGCGUGGGGAGCGAACAGG
rnacentral:rRNA from 1 species